UAGCGCCAAGAGUGAGGGCGUUGUGGGUUGUGGCACGCGGCUAUGAAGGGCAUCGUUGCUUUGCCGGCUGAGGCUUGACAUCAGGGCUACUGUAGUGUAGGAGAGUAAUCAGGGCUUCUGUAGUGUAGGAGAGUGCGUGUCGCAUGUGAGUGCUGGCAGGCGGGAGCAGAUGAUAUUGCACAAGGGACGAGAGUCUGGCAAUGGCAGGAGACAGGUACUAGCAUGAUGCGCCCGCUGUCGUUACUUACAUGAAACGGCGAGUUGAAAGAAGACUGGGCGCAUGUGCUUCACUGAAUUUGCACUAGCAUUCAUGGGCACGUGGAUGCCGAUUUGCGCAAUGCGCUUUAUUCUUAGGCAGCGGAUGGUCAGCUGGGCGGUGGACACAUCACUGUGAUGGGCGGCUUCUGUAUUCCCCAUCCAUGCCCUCGUGCAUUUUGUGCAUUGCAUGCAUGUGCAUGCAUGCCUGAGCGUGAGUCGAUAGCGCUGAUCAGUGACAGGCGGCGGCAUGUUGGCCUUGCCUCGUCCGUUGGCGCGACGUGAAUCCAAGGGCGGUCAUUGUUUUGCGGCUGGACGCAACGAACGCUUCGGCAGGUCUUGGAGUGUGAAGCCGAGCCUACAGGCGGGUGGAGGCGGGUGGAGCCUGGCAUAGUAAGCAAGCAAGCCUGCGGUUGAGUAUAGGGCUGCAGAGGAAAGACUGGCACUGCGGCUGCAGAAGUU
rnacentral:lncRNA from 1 species